GCAUAGCCGAGUUGAGAGACUGAUCGGCCACAUUGGGACUGAGACACGGCCCAAACUCCUACGGGGAGGCAGCAGUAGGGAAUCUUCCACAAUGGACGAAAGUCUGAUGGAGCAACGCCGCGUGAGUGAAGAAGGUUUUCGGAUCGUAAAGCUCUGUUGUUGGUGAAGAAGGAUAGAGGUAGUAACUGGCCUUUAUUUGACGGUAAUCAGCCAGAAAGUCACGGCUAACUACGUGCCAGCAGCCGCGGUAAU
rnacentral:rRNA from 1 species